AUUGAACGCUGGCGGCAUGCCUUACACAUGCAAGUCGAACGGUAACGGGCCUUCGGGUGCCGACGAGUGGCGAACGGGUGAGUAAUACAUCGGAACGUGCCCGAUCGUGGGGGAUAAUGAGGCGAAAGCUUUGCUAAUACCGCAUACGAUCUACGGAUGAAAGCAGGGGACCGCAAGGCCUUGCGCGGACCGAGCGGCCGAUGGCAGAUUAGGUAGUUGGUGGGAUAAAAGCUUACCAAGCCGACGAUCUGUAGCUGGUCUGAGAGGAUGAUCAGCCACACUGGGACUGAGACACGGCCCAGACUCCUACGGGAGGCAGCAGUGGGGAAUUUUGGACAAUGGGCGCAAGCCUGAUCCAGCCAUGCCGCGUGCAGGAUGAAGGCCUUCGGGUUGUAAACUGCUUUUGUACGGAACGAAAAGCCUUCUUUUAAUACAGGAGGGUCAUGACGGUACCGUAAGAAUAAGCACCGGCUAACUACGUG
rnacentral:rRNA from 1 species